UGGUAAAUCAUCAACACAAGAUUCUACUAAGUUGCAUACGAAGGGACCCCAGGAUCCAGUUUUGGCUGAUACAUUCACCUCCGAGCAUGCGAGGCAUCAUAUGUUCCCGUCCAUGAAGGAUUCCCAGCAGCACCAGUAACAGCUCCUGCUACAGCUCCAACUCCAUCAGGAGCACCUGCAGUGAUGGAACCACCAUACGGGAUCAUUCCCGGGGAUAUAGGCCCAGCACCCAUCGGAACAGCAGGUCUUCCAUAAUUAUCAACAUAUCCACCACUACCAUGUACAGCAGGUGGGUAGAAUGUAUGUGGAUUGAUGUUGGGUCCACCAUACGUGUAGGGAGCUACACAGACAGCAAGCAUUAUUGCCUAAAGGGAUCACAUUGGAACUUGAGAAAAUAAUAACUUGAGAGGAUUUCAAAAAACAAACUUGCUACCAUGUGCUCUCUUCUCGACACUGAACACCUCGGCACGCAAUCUUUCCAGUUCUCCAUGCAUGCCCACCAUUUCCUUCUCCAUGAUUCGCAUUUUUUCCACUUUUGCUAUGUUUAAACCUUUUUCGUACUCAAAUGUCAUUCUUUUGCCCCAAAAGAAAGAAAUUUGAAUUAAAUGCUUGCACUAAUAUCAGUUAAUGGGUGAUACCGACCAGAAUAAGAAAGCCCAAUAUGUAGUAAUCAGAAGCAACAUUACUUUCCUGUUCACCAGAAAAUUAUUUAUAAAACACACACAUAUCAAGCGCAAAGCAACAGUUUCCAAAUCUAAAAAGAGAUGCAGGGUGAAAAGCACAAGUGAUUGUUUCCACACUUUUCCUGUUACUAACAAGGAUAAAUCACGUUUCGAACUGAAAUUAAGCUUUACCACAAAACAUAGCAUCAAGGAUUUCUUAGUCCAUAACACGUAAAGAAAAGCUCAGAAGUGAAUGUUUCAUCUCAUCAAAAAGAUGAUAUUAAAACAAUAUGAACAGUUGACUCCACUCACCGUAACCUUUGAUGUUCUUUCCUUAAACUAUCGAGUUCAGUAUUCAUUUCCGGUAAUUUUUUGACAUCAGCACGGGCUUUCUCCAGCUCCUGACUGGCCUUUUGUAUUUGAGCAGUCAGCUCUUUUCUAGCUAAUGCCAGGCUCCGUGCCUCAGAAUGUGCUUGCUGCAAGUCCUUCUUUACACUCUCACCAGCUCUGAUGUCAACUUCCAUUUUUGCUAUCUUUUCCAAUAAUACACGAAUCUGGAUAUCACUCUCAGUCUGCAUGCUUCUAAUAUGAUCUGCAAGCUUCUGCAUUUCUUGCUGAGCAGCAACAAGAUCCUGCCUCAAAGCCCCAUGGGAGGCUGCCAACCUAUGAUUAUCCACAGCAAGCUGCUCAAUUUCCGCUGCCUGAACAGCCAAUCUACUAUCUAAAAGCUCAGGAGGAGGAAGUGGUUCCAUCGGACGAUGGCCAGCAGGCAAUGCACCAUGAUGAAUGAAAGCAGGACCUGGUACAGAACGUCCUUCAUGUGCUGAUGGUAUGUGUUUUCUCGAAGUCAUUGGAUUAAAAAAAAGCCUCCUCAAGUAAGGGAGGCAAAGUAUAACUUUCUCCCCGAGACUAUGUAGGAUAAAUUACCUGCAAUAUCUUUAGAAGAUGAACAAUAAGAAAAAGUAAGAAUCUCUUCCAGGUUCCAUCUAGAGAGAGAAACACUUAAAGAUGUACCCAAAAAGCAAGAAGCAGAUACAGGAGAGUACAAAUUAUUCAGCUAUUCGAACAUGCAUCAUAGGACAAAGUGCACUUGAACUCAUGGAGAAUAAUUUGGAAUUCAUAUUUUAGUACACAAAUUGAAGUAUUGAAUAAAAACUUUAAAUAAAAUCAACAACAACAACUAAAGAAAUUAAACUACCAUUGGCCAAUAUCUCAUCUAUUAGGUCAACAUCAGACAAACAAGCAUCAUUUACUGGGAUUAGGCAAAAGAACGUUGUAGUGCCAACUAUAAUCAUAAAUCAGAGUCAAAUCAUUCUGAUUGUAUAGAAAAUUUUCCUACCAAAGUAACCAAGCCAGAUGCCUUUUUCUUCCACGAUAAGCUGACCAGACAAGAAAGCAGAUCCGUAAUCAUUUUCAAACUCAGAAAUCACACAAAAAUUCUUCCUUCUGUGUCCUAGUACAGUUAAGGCCUGGGAUUCCUGAGCAUACUUUCAGAGACAACCAUUUUGGAACAACUAUGUAGUCUCUUUUUUGGGUGGAGAAUCAAGCCAUUUAAAGAAUCACCCCAACAAAUCAGCAUUUUCCCCACUGAGAAGUUGUUCGGUGAUACUGUUAAUUUAACAAUUAGAAUUCCAAGUUCUUUCCUGAGAAUCAAUAAUUAGCAUGGUCAAAACUCCAUUAUCUAGUAUUUGUCCUAUUACAUGACAAGAAGUCCACCUAAAUGAGCAUAAGGAUCUAGGCAUUGAGCUCAGGAUCUAGGCAUUGAGCAUUCUCCACCCUCAUCGAAGUUCAUAAUAAUCAAGAAGUUACCAUCACCAUUAUUGCAUGAUGAUAUAGUGUCUAUGGAAAUUUUUGCAUUGUAGAAGUAACAAAGAAACGUUAAAGAAAAUCACAAACUCUCUCUUUCAACGACUAUUAAUCAUCAUUUGUCACAAGAUAGCAAGUAGCACAUUAAAGCAUGCCUCAAGCGUCAUUAACAUGUUAAUAUUCAGAAAGUUUUAAUAUGUUGAUUAUAUGUUCAACACAUGCAGUGUAAAGAUCCAUAUCCUACAAUGAACCAGAAUUUAAACGUACCAUUUAUAAAAGUUGCCACGUUUCACACAUCGGCAUCUAUGAAGCCUAGUUGCCAUGCUUCACACACUGCCAUCCUGCUUUUAGCACACGAUUCUACAUUACCACAAUUUCUUAUUACCUAGACUUCUCAAUGGCACUUCCUAAAGAUAGUCAAAAUAUUUAAGAUCGAACUUCGCUCAUAUUUCCCCGUAAUCUGAAUUUGUAUCAUGCUUCCCAAUAACCUAAAAGCAACCCAAAAAACGUUUCAAAAAAAUCAUAACUUUAUCCACAGUGUCCUGCUUUUCACGAAAUUAUGCAUCACCAGUAUUCCCUAAAUUUUUUUCCAAGAGCCCAGUGAAAAAGCUUAACAUUGAAGAUACCUCAUACUUUCCUAUAAUCUAAGAACAACAGAAAAUAAUAAUACAACAAAAAACAAAACAAAAAAAUGAAAAAAUGAAAAAAAAAGGAUCAAAACUGUAUGUUUCUUGUGCUCCUCCUCUAAUUUCAAACCAAAGCCACAAUUGCAAAUGAUCAAGAUAUGCCUAUUUCACAGAAGGAUGCAGCAAAAAGCUGCUGUCUCUCCUGAGCAGUACUCCUUCCGCAUGCAUAACCAAUCAAUGAUUAAUGCAACACAAACCCACGUAAAAAUCUCCUGUUAAGGCUAAAAUCAAGUGUCCCUUUUCCUUUUGCCAUUAGAAUGACAAUUUUACGCUAAAGAAACAAGAAUUGAACCCUGAACCAUGAAAAUUUUUUUCAAGACAAAUUUUGGUUUCUUUAAGCAAAUCGAAACAAGCCCAGAUAAAGAAAACUGAAAGUAAGUAAUUACCUGUUCUCAAGACUGAUAAAUCGGAGAAGUCUGUAUUUCUACAUAAAUGAGGUUCAAUAUUGUGAAGAAGACAGGACUCCUCUUCUAAGAAGAGAUUUUGUAAUUGCGCUUCCGGUUCUAGGCAUUCAUCAUUGGUGUUAUUAGCCUUUAUCCCCCCGGCAAGGGACAACUUGAUUUGAAAUUUCUAAUAAUCAUUUGAGAUAUUUGAUGGGAUCUAUAUACAAAGAGAAUUUCUUUUAGGGAUAACUUCAGAAACCUCAAGGGAGGUUUCUGACAAUUUCACUAAGCUCCUCUAAAGUUUGAAAAAUAAUACUUACCUUCCUUGAUUUGAUAGUUUUAGUAACAAAAUCUUAAAAUAAUAUUGACUUGGACAAUUUUUUAAAUGAAUACUCAAAAAUGCUCUUGUGGAAUGAGUUUUAAUUACUUCUCUACACAAUUAUGAGAUUAUUUAGUAUAAUUAUAAGGAAAAGGUGCCAAAUUUUUCAUGUCUAUAUUUACUAUUUGAUAAACAACUAUAAUAUAAUUUUAUUACUAUGAUAUGAUAUUUUUUAUGGCAUUUUAUUAUGAAUUUAAAUUUAUAAGAUAGAAAAGAAAAUGUUUAAAUAAUUCAUUUGGAGUUUAUAAAUUUUUGGAGUAGUGGUAUUAUCAUAAUUUAGUAGUACUUUUGGGCCAUUUCUUUUUGAUUUAUUGUUAAUUUUAAUACUAAAAACUAGAAAACGAAGAUCAGCAAAAACAUUGGAUUACAUAUAAAAUUACCUCGUCAAAAAAAUCACUAGUUCGACAUUUGGUUAUAGUAGAAACUUAGAGGCAUUAGUGGUAGUUCUACAAUUUUAUUGGCAAAAAAUUUUUAAAAAAAGGAAUAAAAAGGAAAAAGAAUGAAAAAAUAAUUUUAAAACUCAUUCUAAGUAUAAGCAUACCAAAUAAGAGAAUUUCUUUAAAAUAUUUAAGGGUAAAAUUGUCAUUUUAAAUGACAAAAAUGACAAGGGAGGUAUGUGUAAUUUUUCGAACCUUAGGGGAGCUCAGUGACAUUGUUAGAAACCUCAGGGGAGGUUUCUGAAAUUAUCCCUUUCUUUUACCAUGUACAAGUUAUUUUUCUCUUUCUUUCUUUCUUUUUUUUUUGGUUUUUUGGAGAGUCGAGUUGGUCGCUAGAAAAUUCACAAAAUAGUAUCAUCUCAAAAGCAUCAUGUAAAUUCAAAGUUUCUCUUCAAACUUUGUGGUUCAACCAAAUUAGUACAUUUUACAUGUGAAUUAUAUUAAUCAAACUUUCCGCAAAAUUAGGUAUUGACGAUUCAAGUGCCAAUCUCAGCAUAAUGAAGCAUGAACCAUACUAAACGCGCCAUUGUUAUUAACACAAAUUACUCUUGUCAUUCAACCACAGUUGUGCUCUUAUCAUGCUAGAAGUCUACUAAAUGACAUUUUCCAGCUCACUUCUACAUAAGAGCCAACCUCGUUUCUACGAAUGAUCAUGUUCGAUAAGGAUCAUUUCGAAAAGAUCCUGGUCUGACAAAGCCUUCCUGAGAUGAUUCAUUAUCAAUAUUUAUCAUUCAAUGAUGGAUGGCAAAUUGUUUUACUGGCUUACGUUGACCAAGAAACAACAAUUUUUGUCAUCUUUUGUAUAAAUCUUGUAAGUUCAUUUGUAUUGCAUCUGCACAUUAGUUGCUGACAAGAUACUUCAAAAAAAUUUGGUCAUUAUAUAGUUUAAUAAAUUUUGUACAAAGUGUGCCCACCCACAUGCAUGCUUGAAGCUUAUAUACAACAAAAUGUACUCCGACGUCAGUCUUCAUAUGGUCUAACUUUUUCGUAGAAUCUGCAAAAUUGCAAAUAUGGGUUUUGAAGAUCAAAAGCCUCUUAUUGUCAUGGUUAUGUUAGUUUCUCUAUGCAGGAAUCACUUCAUCACUAGAGCUUCCUUGUUACAGGGAACGAGUCCAAGGGUUUUCGCGGUCAGCUAUCUAUAGCCACUUUGCUUGUGGCCCUUGUGGCUCAUUUUAAACAGAGGCGUAUUUAUAGGAAUUUUAAAUCCUUUCUCCUCGUCUCAGAAUGUGAAACAUAAAUUAUGUACUGGAUCAAUUACACGAAAACCUAUAGCCUCUUUGGCUGUUGGGUGGUCAAGUUUCGACCCUUGUCUCCCAACACUUGUUACUAAUAAGUGGUUUCUACAAAUUCAAACGGGUGUGUAGUGCACCCGUCUGAUUCGAUAGUGGUUCAGUCCCCCUUGAUUCCCCCUAAUCUAGCUAGACCCUCCCUUAGAUAGGUUAUAGUGUAGGAGCAAGAGCAGUGUAGAAAGUGAUGAUUGACCCAAAAAAAAAAAAUUUACACAAAUAUAUAUAAAUUUUUUUUGGUUGGGGUUGCCCGGAGUAAAAUAAGCAGAUAUUCUUUAGGAUGGAAGAGGUUGAUAUUUUAAGGACAAAUUCCACUUUGCACCUUUGAACUUAUAUCACUUUCUCACUUUGUACUCUAAACUUCAAUUUUGAACACUUUACACCCUAAACUCUCAAUUUGAGACACUUUACAUGCUAAAUUCUUAAGUUCGUCCUAUUUAAAUCUAGUUAAUAACAACUUUUAAAAAAUUAACUGUAUAGAAGAUCUAACAAAUCAAUGAUAAUGUGCCAAAAGUAAUCAAAAGGUGCCAUGGUAUUAUAGCAAAAAUAAAACAAUACAUUAUCAUUAAUUUGUUUUUAUUUUUUUCAUUAUCAUUGAUUUGUAUCAUCUUUUACCUCAUUAAUUUGCUAAUAAUAUUAAUAAUUGAGAUCAUAUAAAUAAAUGAUAAUGUGCUGAACAUGAGCAACAAAGCUAAGGAAUCGUAGUCGAAACAAAACAGUACAUUGUUGUUAAUUUUUAUCGCUCUUUAUCUCAUUAAUUUUGCGAAUAUAAUAAUUGAUUGGACUUAAACCGAACAACUAUGAGAGUUUAGGGUGAAAAGUGUCCAAAAUUAAAAUUUAGGGCGCAAAGUGAGAAAGUGAUACAAGUUCAGAGGUGUAAAAUCAAAUUAAUCUUAUUUUAAAUAUCGCUCAUUUUGUAAGUUAUUCUCUUUUGAGUAUCUGUGUGUAUGUGGAAGCUAAACUAAUGUUGAUUAUCCAAUUGAUUAAGUUUUUCCUCUAUACAUUCCUUGUGCAGAGUAACAUUUAACAAGAAUCUCAAUUUUAAGGGCCUAUAUAUAUAUUUGGCCUCAUCUUCAAUAGCAAGUGCAAUGGUCAAUUUACUUCCUGCAACUACUUGUGCGGCGGCCUACAUUGUCGGGUAACUAUCAAGGAGAUUAAUGCAAAUUCAAAGAGGGCUGAGUUUACAUUCAUCAUGAAAAAGUAAAUGAUUCUAUAUACAAUGGAUGAUCUCAUCCCUUUUACUUUUGAUUGCAUAAUUAUUAUGUUAUCUCAAAGCAACAGAAAUCUAUUAGCACAGUAACUUUUAUAAAUUCUUUUGAACUCUUUUUGUCUAUAAUUAUUUCUUAAAUUUCACUCGAAUACCGUACCUUAACAUAUGUCAAUUACUGAUUAGAGAAAGUGAACAUCCAAAGCUUCAGGAGUAUAGCCAAGAUCAUCGGAACAAUCAGCUCUGUUGCUGGAGCCAUAAGCAUGCCAUUACUAAAAGGGCCAAGAACUCUAAGCAUGGAGCUUCAGCUAAUGCAUUCGUUAUUCAAAAAGGGAGAUGAGAUAUGGUUGCUUGGUUGUUUCAUCCCCUUAGCAGGCACAAUUUGCCGGUCAACUUGGCAACUUUUGCAGGUGAAACCACCCGAUAUUUCCCUAUUGGAAUCACACAAUUUGAGAAUCAGUUAACAGCAUAUCCAUAUUUGUGUUGCAUUUUCUCAACAGGUGCCGGUUGUCCAAGAGCUAUCCCGAUCAUUUACCUGUAACAGCAUGCAAGGAUGUGCUUCAUGGUUGCCUUGCAAUCUGCAGCUGUCACGUUUUUUACUGAGAAAGAUUUCACAAGCUUGGAAAUUGCACUCACAUUUGGAAAUUGGAUGCCCUUUAUAUAGUGUAAGUUUUGUACUUUAAUUUGAUGGUUUCCAUUUUACAACCAUUUUGUAUCGAAGAUAAAUUUGAAAGAGUUCAUCAAUAUUAUACCUGGCUGGAGCACCAGCUCAAUCUUGGUGCAUUUCGAAACGAGGUCCAAUUUUCUGUGCCAUGCCAUGUUUAAUCCCGUAAACAACGUAACUAUCACCAUGUUCGCUUGUACGUUCAUCCACAAAGAGAUUUACUUAGGAAGGUAUUACCUGCAUUGCAAAAAUUGAUUAAUACCUUUUAUUCCUUAAGACUCCAGUGUUCCGAUUUCUUUAUUCUUUGGAUGAUAAAUAAUUGGGAAAAUGAUCGGUUUCAUCCUUCACAUUUCACAAAAAUAUUCUUUUCGUCCCUCACUUUUAAAACGAAACAAUUUCAUCCUUGACAUUUAAAAACUGAAGUUCUUACGUCCCUGAACCCAAAUUUCAAUCUGAAUCAAACCACCAAUCAAUCUGAUUACAAAUUUUGGGAGUGUAAUUGGUAGAUCAUUUGGUUAACUCAACUUGAUAUUCAUGUAAAAUUUAAUGAAUCAAAAAAGAAAAAAAGAAAAAAUUAUAACAUAAAAAAGAAAGAUUAAUCUUUCCUACAUUAUCAUUGUAUACACUGACGGUUUUAUGUACCGUCGUAUCAUUUCAAUUUAAAUUUAAACACCAAAUUUUAUAUUUAUGAUACACAUCUAGAUUCGCAAGCAGAUAUAUUAACGGUGUAUGAAAAGAUUUACCCAAAAAAAAAAUCCCACUAUACCAAGACAAAGAAUGGCCUUUUAUGUUAUAAUUUUUAUUUUUUUGGUUUAAUAAAUGUCAUGUGAAUAUGAUGAAAUUGACCGAGUGAUCUAUCAAUUCUAUUUUCGAAAUUUAUUACUGGGCUAUUGAAUGAUUUGAUUCAGAUUGAAAAUUAGGUUCAGAGAUGUAAUAGUUUUAAUUUUUAAAUGUCAGAGAUCAAUUUGCUUUAUUUUAAAAGUGAGAAUAUUUUUGCGAAAUGUGAAAGAUGAAACAGGCCAUUUUCCCUAAAUAAUUUAUAUAUUUACUCAUAUUGAAUUUUGAAGCCCUUUAAAUUGAUAACUUAUCGGUUCCAUCGGCCUCGAGGAAUUUAUGGCCUCGUUUUCAUGUACCAAAGAAAUAUCUAAAACUAGCUUAUUUUCUAAUCUAAGACGCAACUUUACCACAAUAAGCUAGAAUUUCAUAAUUACGUAUUACUUUUCCAAACAGCUCUUGGAAAAUAUCUUAUACCGAUUUGCCCAAAAUAUCAGUUCCUAGUUUCAUCUGCUGACCAAGUUGAAUUUGAGUUGAAAAAUACUAAGUUUGUUAGCUUGCGAGUCGAUUCGAACUCGAAUAUAUACAUAUAUAUAUAUAUUAUUUUUUAUUUUAAUAAUAAAAUUACAUAUAUAUAUCCCUAACAUUUUAUUAUUUAUUAAAAAAAUUAUUAUUUUAUUUAUUUAUUAAAAAUAAAAUAUUUAUUUUUUAUUUUUUCAAACUCGAACUCGAAUUUGAGUUUCAUAACAUUAUGUUGAGACUCGACUUGAUUAAGUCGAAGUUCGACUCGACCAGUCACCCCUAACUUGGCCUAUACAGUAUGGAGGGAAAGGAAUCUUAGAACAUUUCAAUUGAUUCUUUAUGAAAUUCUUGAGAUAUGUUCGUCAUGCCAAUAGCUGGAUGCCUGGAUGGAGGAAAAUUCCAAGGACUCGAGAGAAUUGGGAGCUGACUUUACAUUGGAACUUUUCAAUGCAAAUUUUCUGUAGAUUGUAUAGAAUAUAGUGAUUGUGAUCAGUUUUAUUUUCUUUGCUUAGUUGUAUAGAUUCCAGUACUAUGUGGUGACUCUGCAAGUGUCUAUAUUUAACUUUUAUUUUUGUUUGCAUAUUCCUCAAAGCUAAGUAAGUACUAAAUGAUUUGUUUUGAGAUGAAACAGUAGAAGGGGAUAGUUGAAAGUCACAUUACACCAACAAUAGCACUAACAAAAUUGAGCUACUCUACCAUUCAGUCUAGCCAGCUUUUGAAAUUAAAAAAAAAAAAAUGUCAUCAUAAGAAAGGCCAAAUAUAUUGACGGGUAGGGAACAUUCAAUUGACUCUUGGGUGAUGGUAAUUACUUAUUUCCAUCAGCCCUUCGGGUUCGGUUCCAUGGUUGUAGUCCCAGUUGGGGAAGAGCCACGUCCAGGGAUCGAAUCCCCGCACUACCGUGGCUGGUGAUGCUUGGGGCAGGCCUCUCCCAGCUCACAGUGGGAUUAGUUGGGUCGUACGGUAACCAGUUCACGGGCCCAGAUAUCCACUGUCGAUUAAAAGAAAAAAAUUUCUUAUUUCCAUCAAAAAGCAAAGCUUACAUGUACGAGCCCUACCAACAAACCCCACCAACAAUGGUAGGUAUGGAGAGGAAUGAACGACCAAAACCCAGAGAUGAUGGGUCUUUACUCUUUACAGCUUUUCAUUGUUGGUCCUGCAAAUAAUUGGAGAGACAGAAAGGGACGUCGACUUCCAUUAACUCAAAGGGAUAAUUUGAAAUCUGACCCCAGUGUCCGGCGGGCUAUUGCAAAGUCUGGUGGUGAAAGAAGAAAAAAAUAAUCCUUCACCACACAAUUGGGGAUACAAUCAAUAAGAUGAGAUAGAGGCAAAUGAAUGCUUAAUCAGACUCAGAAACCCGAGGACAAGUGUGAUGCAUCCUAAUCGACCUGACAACCUCAAUUGAUAAUAUUUCUGCCACAUGGUAGAACUUUUGGAGUGAUCUGGAUUUUGGUCAAAUUGAAUUUAGCAUCUAAAUCACAAUAGCGUAGACAAUUAACAAACUGCAUAGGACUCAAACUGGAGCCCGCCACAAAAGAAAUCAAAGCUUUAAGCAAAGAGAGGAAUAAGGGCAUAUCUAAAUCAAUGAUUGUUGGCCACUAUAAAAAAACAGUGAGGAGCAACUUACCCUUUUUUUGCAGGUAAUCAAGCAGAAAAAUUUUUUAUUUCUUAAUUAGAAGAAAAGCACCAGAAAACGUGGCAUUAAGAACAGGAAGUCUUUCCUGCAUUAAAGAGAGAAAGAAUGGACAAAAAUCCGACAAAUUUUGAAGGCCAAAACUUUAGAGAUCAAACUCAAGUACGCAGAGCAGAACCUGUUCAGAAGCAGAUCUGAAAAUGGCAGGGAAAUCUGCCAAUGUUUUUGUCAAAGACUGAAAAGUCUAUAUAGAAACUAAGCAUUAACGUAGGAAAUCAAUCAUCCAACAUGGUCUGAAUGAGCAAAAUCAAGCUAUACAUAGAAGCAACUAACAAAUAGGUAGGAAGUUGUAUUGCAUACAUUAUUAGAAAACCAGUUUCAAUCCAAACUCUAAUAUCUACUCAGAUAUGAGCUUGAUCGCUCAAGGGUAGCGCUUCCAUGCAUUAUCCUCCCUGUUGUUUCUGAAUGCGCAGCAUCCUAUAGAGUAUACUAUGAUGAGGAAGACCAGCACUAUAAUAUUCAGAAUGGCCUCCUUCUUCCAAUCACUCUUGAUAUUGUCCAGCAGACCAGCCUUGCAUGAUUGGCAGUUGUAGCAUAGAACUUUCUGAUCAUUACUCCAAGCCGUGCAGUCUGGAUUAGUAGACCCUGCUGUUCCUGUCCAGUUGGUUGGGGUGACAUAGGUGAAUUUGCACUCAUCUGGUGGCUUGCAGCAUCCAGACUGGCAAGAGUAAAUGAACAGAGAAUGAGAGAGACAACAUAAAAACGAUUUAACUGCAAAUGAACUAAUUUCAAUCUAGUCAUAUAUCUGUGAAGAACCUUUCCAAGACAUCGAGUUUAGGCACAGAAGCUGAAAAUUUUACAGAUUCUUUCACAGAAAUUUGAGGCGUGCAACUAGUACAUCAACCAGGAGACGAUUCUCAAAAUCACAAAAGGAACAUCUUAGUUUAUAACAACCUAGCAGUUCAACAAUGUGUCAAAUGUAUUAAAAACAUGCUUCCAAUUCAAAAAUGGAAAAUGCAAUCAAUCCAAAGCAGGACAAUUUAUGAUUUUACAGCAACAAGUUGAAUGCCAUUAUUCUCCUCUGGAGAUACUUGUUUGAACAUGUAUAAUAGCAAAACAAAAAUUGACAGAAUAAGCAAUAGGGUCAAGUAAAUUGAUAUAUCAUUAUUCUUAAAGGCACCACUUUAUGCACCACACCACUUUUUGCAACAAGAAAUAUAUACAAGCAGCAUCACCAAUCUGUCUCAGACAAAAAGCAGAACAUUUUAAGUCGAGAUUCUAGUCAAGUCUCUCAACUUUAGGAAACUACUCAAUAACCAUCAUUCAAAUAUAACAGAUCCAUGGCAGUUAGUGAUUCCAAGUGAAGAUCAAUACCCUUUCUCAAGAAACUUAAAAAAGUAAAAUUACUAUACCAACAAGAACAAACUACUGACACACAGUCCCAGCCCCUAAAGAUAUCUUCCAAUUGAGUAUCCAGAUCUAGAGCGAGGCAGCAAAAACAGAAAACCCCUUCUCCCCUCAAGUGAAAAACUCAAGUUUUAGCUCAAAAAGAAAAAAGAAUGACAACCAUGCAGGUAUGGAGAGCAACAAAAGAUGCAAUACUUAUGAAUCUGUACAUACCUGAAGAGCAGAAAGCGUUUCCUUGUUAAAUUGUCCUAAAGGAGUGGCACCUUGUUCAAUCAGGUGCUUGCAGAUCUGUGAGUCCUGAAGACAACUUCUAAUCCUGGGCCAAUUUUUGUUCACCCUUUUCUGCAACCAAGUGUUGUAAUCCCCAAGCCUGUACUCCUUAUACCCCUUACCUGCAAGGGCCUCACCAGCACCUUUAUUUGUAACCACAAACGCAAAGAUUGUGAAGCAAAAGAGGAGCACAAUCAACAGAAACAUGACCAAAAGGUACACCCAAAGAAGCCAUGAAACUCUGCAACAUGAUCCAAUGAGUCCUGCCAAUGAAACCAACAGCAGAAACGCCCCCAAUACUAUCACUGGCUUUUCAAGAAAACGUUCACAUUCAGUAUUGGACUGCUUUGCUAGCCAAAUCCCACCUGCAAUUAUUGGGAUUGACAACAACAGCGUCAGAAAAUUCAGUAUCCCAAGCAAACUGUUGCUGCAACGUGGCAUUUUCUCUGGUAUUCUUGAAAACGAACCAAAAAUAUCAGUAACUUCUCAAGAAGCCAAGAAGCAAAAGGGGUGAUUAAACUCCAAUAGUUAUGUGCUUCUUAAUGGUGAACGAACCUAGUUAACGGUGAACAGUUUUACCAGUUUUAUAGUAGGAUCCGAUGGAAAAUUGAUCUGGGUUGGAGCUAAGAAAGCGAGAAUCUGGAAAAUAAAAAGGAAGAUAUGAUGAAUGGAACAAAGGGUAAGGGUGGUUAUAUAAUACUGGUGAAGACGGGCCGUUUAAUUGCAUUCUUAGUCCUCUAAGUUAUCAUUCUAGCCCAUGUAUCACGCAGUACCCUAUUGCGUGUAAUAGAUUCAUUAGCAUUCAUUUUACUAUAUAUAUGAUGAUUGAAUUAACUAAGAUUUAAUUUCACAUAAAUUUAUGUCAUCUUUCAUAAAUUGAUUCUAAUUUUUACUUUUUGUUUGCAUAUUUUUUUGUUUGUAGAGUCAAAGAACAUUUUGUGUAAAUUAUUAGUAGUACAACUUUUUGUUUGGUCAAAAGAAUUUAGAUGGAUUAGUCUUGACUCAAAUGGAGUAUCUAUAUUAGCAGGAGCGAAUGAUCAAUUGUGAUUAAUUAUUAUGCAAUCUACACAAGCAUAUAUAUAUAUAUAUAUAUAUGUUCACAAUCAAUAAAAAAAUUAAUCCAAUUUAGAUGCUUACACAUAUUUAAGAGUAGGAAGGAAGGAAGUGGUAUGGUAUCUCUCUAAUUCAAAGCUGAAAGAUGUAGUCCCCUGUGUUUCAAUAGCUACAAUUGUUUGUAGGUUUAAAUUGACAAAAAUGGAGAAGAUGAGAGACUAAGGUAAGAAAACCCAAAAUGUUGGGGUCCCAAAAUCUGUAUGGGGAAAUGUGAAACUCGUGGAGGUUGAGCUGGUCUGGAAUUUGCUAAGGAGUUUCGGAGACGUGUGGCCGUUUCCGAAAAAAUUUCAGCGUCAAGCGAUAAGCCCAGUGCGCCACGUGUGACACGUCGUACUCGCCGUGUGAAUUAAUUGGACAAUCGCAACAAGGAAUCGAAACGGAUGGGAAAGCGUGGGACCAGACUAGCAAUGCCAAAAAGUGUUUUUCUUUUUCUUUAUCUUUUUUGAGCCCAUUAGAAGCCAAAAAUGUAACAAUAAAAAGUUUUGACGCUAUGGUAGACUUGAUCGUUUUGGCUAGUAACUUAUCUUGAAGGAUGAUGUGACUUUUGAUCAAGAACAGGAACAUUAGAAGAUUUCCAAAAUCUUUAAUUUUAAAUGUCCCUCCCCUUUUACCCCAACCAUUAUUGUCUCGAUGGAAGAUGAUUGAAAAAUACUCUUGUUACGAGUGUUUGGAUUAAAAAAAAGAAGAAGAAGAAGUCUUUAUGAUGUGAUGUAUUUUAUGAUUAAAAAAUGGUUAGAAAGAUUUUUUUUUAGAAAAAAAAAAAAGAAAAACAAUGUUUAUUAUGCAUAGGAUUGAAAAAUAAACCAAAUUACAUGAUAUUUGAAUCAAAUUUGACUUAUUAAGAACUCAUUCAAAUUUGGAUCGCCAACUAGUCAAGUUAAGAUUGAACAGCAUUUUAUAUUCGCCAACAUUUAAAUUCGAUAAAAAAAUUAGUUCAAACUCGAUUUGGCAAAAUAAAUAAGUCAAAUUUGCAUAAAAUUUUAAAUUCAUUAAAAUAAUCAAACAAACUUGAAUACUAGGGUGUUCAGUUUGAUUAGACUAGUUUACACCCCUAAUUAUGCAUGUGAAAAAAAUCUUUUUUUUUUUUUUUGCAAAAAAAGAAUAUAUCCAAAAUCUUCUGGUCACUUAAUCUUUGAGACUAAUAUUCAAUGCUGACUGACUCAAUGCAAUUUAUGAUACAAAUUCAAAUAUCCACUUCAUUUUUUUUUUAAAAAAAGGAGUCUUUAUACUUUAAUUGCCUAAUACCUUCUUGAUUGGAUUAAUUUUGGUCUCACUUAGAUUGCAAUUUUUAAAAUUUUUGAAGAAAAAAAAAUAUAUAUAUAUUCUAACAUUGUGAUGUACGAGAUAAAAAGGUAAUUUAAAAUUAUGUCAAACAAAUAUUCCUAGUCAUUGGAAGUUGAUUUUAAAUAGGAGAGAUUCUACAAGAUCACACACACAAGUUAAAUUUAGCAUUAAAUGUGAAAUAAGUGAUGUUAAAUUUCUAUAAUUUCACAACUUUAAAAUUUCAACUGCUAUUAUCAUUAAGGAAUAGAAAUUGAAGAAAUGGUUCCACGAAGGGACCAUACAAUUUCCCAAAGAUUAGUAUCAAAGUAGGUCCUCCAAAAGAAAGAAAAAGAAAUUGUUUAAAGAAGAAAUAAUUGUUUGUAGCCAUAUAUAUAUAUAUAUUUUUUCUUGUUUUUCUCCUAUUUGAGAAAUUGGACGCCGACUUAUAACUUGAAAUCAGGCGAGUCCCGCGCGCCGUGUCCAUCGUUUAGUAAUAAGUACUAUAAUAAAUGAGUAUGAUGAGCUUACUUGGAAUAUUCCAAAGGCAGAGGCAGAGGAUGAUAGUUACUUAAAGCCAAUCAACUCUCUUUCGUCCGUUUGUUUACUCAAAUUCCUUAUCACACGUUAAGAGGCUUCUUUAUAGUCUCGGGGAGUUAGCUUCACAAUCUUGCUGCCAUCCAAACCUUUUGCCCCUUUUUUUUAUUUGUAAAUCUGUUCUCGGAAUUUUCGUACCAACCCUUUCUUUCUUUCUUGGAGCAUUGAGCAGAUACACCAAAAAGAGUGAGUUGUAAGUAAGUAAUGGUUGAAUUGACCAACACAUGUCGCUUUUGCUUAAACCUGAACCAUCAAUAACGCGUAAUUUAAACCAAACUUUUUAAUACUAAUAAUAAUAAUAGACUGAGCCCUUCUUCAUUUUUAGUCCAUUUUAAGAAAUAUUUUAAUACUUAGCUUCAUAAAUCCUCAACUAAUGUAAAUCAAUAUAAGCAUCAUGGACCGAUUCAAAGGAAGAUAGGAAAUUUCCCUUUUUAUUUUUAUUAUUAUUAUUUCCUCAAAUUGGUUGACGGAUAUAAGAAUUACUAAAUAAUAUUUUAUUGUUCAUUAUGUGUGUCAGACGUUUUAGCCAAUUAAAAAGGCAUAAGUUAUUUAUUAUCCCUAAUUUUGGGGUCAACAAUCAAAAAAAAAAUAAAUAAAUAAAUAUAUAUAUAUAUAUAUAUAUAUGUGUGUGUGUGUGUGUGAUUGCACUUUGUUUGUACUGAAUAUAAUAAUUGCAGCAACGGUUACGUGUUUUUUAUGAAUGAAUCAGUACUUGCAACACAAGCACGCUUCUCAAGUUUACAGUUGUUGUACAUUGGAAAUAAAUACACUACCUUAUUGAUCCAUAACGCUGAAACAAAAACCCACAGAUCAGCAUCAGACAAAAGACCAUGCAAAACUCAGCUCCCAAUGCAGAGACAUGAAGACCUAAAGCAGUUUCAAAAUCAAAGGGGCCCUGGGAAAGUCCCAUUCUCCCUCUGCUCGUUCCAUCUCUCAACCUGUAGAAAUGUAGCAGAAACUAGUUAGAAUGCAUUCAAAACUAUGGUAAAAUGGUAGAAUGUUAUCAUCCUAUUGCAUAUGGUAAAAUAGUAGUCAAAGACGUUUAUAUAAUAUAAUAAACAUAAAAAGUGGGAACGCUGGAAAGCCAAUAAAAGAUUUGGUGUUGUACCACUUGGUAAUUCAAAAAGGCCAUCCCCAUCAGCCAUUUAAUAUAUCUCCCUCAAACAACUAGAGGUUUUCCAUACGCCAUUACUAGAGGUGUCAAGAAGAUAAAACGGGCUGCACAGAAAUUCACAUGAGAGUUGCAAGCAACUUCAAGCUCACAAUCCAAAACUUACUCCGAAAGGAACUAAAACAGAUAGUCAAACAUAAAAGAAAAACCAUAGCUGUUUUUGUUAAUAACGAUUAAGUUUUAACUAUGAUGUCAUGUCACCACCCAAUUCCCGUGUAACAUAAAGGAGCAAUAGUUUCCAAUUGCAAUGCCAUCUCAAGCAGAAUCACACAUGAAAUGGGACUUUUUAUGAGGACAACAGUGCUCAUAUCUGACCUUUUGAAGAGGACUGCUGUCCCCCAAGCCUAUGACAAUCAAUACCAACAUUCAACAGGUAAAAGCAAUUCUACAUAUAUAUAUAUAUAUAUAUAUAUACUUACUUACCCAUUCACCAGGACAGAGGGACCUAUAGUACUUGGCAAAUUUUUCACAUUCUCCAGAAUCAUCACCCUUGGCAGCCAAGCACCUGAAAUCCAAAAAAGUGUUGAAUCUGUGUAAACCAAAUCAUUAUGAUAGACCAACAAAAGCUUUACUGUGCUCUAAAGAGAAAACCAGGCAAGAGUAAAACCUAUAUCAAUUACAUAUUCAACCGAUAGAAAAUCAUCUUGAGUACCAAGAUAAAUAUUUCUGUACUCACUCUUUUCUUUUUCCCCCCCAAACAUCAAACCCUAUUCAUGAGCUUCUAGAUUUAAAAUGUUAGGGAGUAGUAAUCUAGUCAAGUAAAAAUAUUUUAACUUAAUCAGGCACUUUCAAAAGAUAUUUGCCUAAAGGUUUCAGCCUACACCUUCUUAACAAACACAAAACUAACUUAAGAUUUCUCUUUCAACAACUGAGGGCUAGAAUCAAAACUACGUAAGUUCAAUGGUUUUACCGGAGUUGUUCCAUGACACAGAAAAAAAAUUGGUUUCUAUGACACACUAUUAAGCAAUCAACAGCCACUCAUAUGUAACAAAGUCCAAUGACCAGAAAAGCCUUAUGCAGCCACAACUGACAGAGCAUGUCCUUUUAAGAUAAUUGGUUUUAUGGCAUAUUAUUCAACAACCACUGGUGUGUAACUAGUCCAAUACCCAGAGAUGCCUCAUGCAGCCAAAACUGAUAGACCAUUACCUGUGGAACUCAAUGUAGCGUGUGAAACAGUGUCUAGUUUGAUUAGUUGUUGGGAAUCGGAAGUCAGCUGGUGCAGUCUUCAGUUCAAUCUGACAAUAUUAGCAUACAAAUAUUACUAAGAAGAGUGUAAGACAACUGUUCAACACUAAAUUGCGUCUUCCGCUUUCUCAUCAUAAAUCACACACUUAAUUCACUACAUAAAAUGAAAAGGAAAACUAUCAAAAGUUCAGAGAAGCAAACAUUGUCACUUUAGAAAAAAGGUGAACAAGAAAAGUAUUUUAACAAGUUACUUAAUAGUUAAAAUAUUGAAUAAGCAUGUUUCCACUUAAGACGGCGUUCUCCUCCAUCAUGCUUAGAUUUCAUUGUAAUAUUUCCCAAGACAUCAUAUCCUACCAGAAUUCCAAUAGUUUCGAGGCAGGAGACAUCCACAGCAAGAAUACAUAGUUUUGACCCGAUUGUAAUUAUGAGCUAAAUCAUGCUUUGCAUGCUAAGAAGCUCUAGCCUAGGCACAGAUAAAACAUCUUUUCUCAGAAUUAAAAUUUCAACACAUCAUAAUCAUGAGAUAGAAGACAUUAAGCGUGUUCAGAACUAAGGCUUUCAACAAAACUGGAUGCACUUCCAUGCUUUUUUGAAUAAGAAUGUCCAAUUGAUAAAGAAAGAAUUUUUUGAACAGGCAACUUUCAAAGAAUGAAUCAAUAAAAUCACAACCUCAAGAAAACCUUUUUUUUUUUUUUUUUUUUUAGGUGUGUCCCGCAGGGAGUGGACCCCGCAGACUAUUCACCACCCUCAGCAACUUGCUGGCAGCAAGGUUCGAACCAGGGACCUGAGGCUCCAUCUUCAGCAACCUCAACUACCAGACCAAGCCCCUGAGGGCGACCUCAAGAAAACCUAAUUCCUGCAUAUGACAGUUCUGUUCUGAAAUCAAAAGGAAGGAAAAAAGUUCACUCUUGAGGCUAAAGGACAGUCCAGACGAAAGAAAAAUUGUUUUUGUCUAUUGUGGCAAAUGAAAAAUACUUUAUCAGCAGACCUCACACACUCUGACAUGAGAUAGUCACCUCACACACUGUGAAAUGAGAUACUAUUUGGCCCAAAGGACUAGAAAUAAAAGUGCAUUUACACAAAGGGCCAGCUAUGGCUCCCUUUAGCUGUCAACAAGACUAGAUAAAGAAAACAUUUUACAAUUGAGUCAAGAAAAGUAAACUACAAUUUACAUUCUCCUUCUAUAAACAACUAUUUGGCUAAAAAAAUUAACAAAUAUAAACCACAACCAACAUGCUCUAUGAUGAGCAACCAUUUGGCCAAAUAAUUAAUAAGUAGACCAUCUGGAAAUGAAUAAAGCCUAGGUAUGAGAACCAGUAACUUAAAAGAGCAGGCAAGGAUAUAGAGAUCCCCAGAGUAAUAUUCCAAGAAGGUAGAUUUCUUCUCUCAGUCUGGACUAAAGAACAAAGUCUACUUCAAUCCUUAUAUCACCAUGAAAAGAGAAGGGGGAGUCAACAACAAACUAUGUCACCUUAUAGGGAUUUUAGGCUGGAUUUUGAAUUUUUAUCUGCUUAGUAUCCUCAUAGUCAUGAGAGAACUUAAACUAUGAAAGCUCUUGCUUGGCUAUUGGAGAAAGUGGGAAAGAAGGCAUUCUGUCUCUUGGUAUGGAACCCCACAUUCACCUGUAAUCUGAAACAUUUUCAAGUAUGACAAUUAAAAUACAGAGCUUUGAGAGCAUAGAGAACCAAUAUGGGAUUCGCUACAACAACCCAAUUUUCGAUCGGCAUUAGGAGUACACAAUUCUUCCCUUCAUGUAUGGAUACUCAUAAGAAAAUCUUCCUGACUUGAUAUAUUAUACAGAUGGAACAUUGGGGGCACCCGUGGAUGGGGUUUUCUUGUUUUCUUCGUUUUUUUUUUUUUGGGGGGGGGGGGGGGAGCACAAAGAAAAGAAGGAAAGAAAUAUUAAAAAGUUUACAAAGAGAAAGAAGGAAAACAAGUCUUUUAGUAAUUUCCCAUAUCAUAUCUCAAAUUCCAAACAUCCAGGUAGCAGGACAUUUCCCUUUCCUCAAUAAAUUUACUAUCAAAGGAAACCCAAACUAAAUAAAGGCACAAACUUUUCUCUAAGAAAAACAAAACAGCAAAUGUGCACAUCCAACUAACUCUAUGGUUUUGUUAUAAAAAUAACUCCAUCAUCCUUUCAUACAGCUGCUUGCUUUCAACAAGAGUUCGUUCAGAUUUGAUAGCAAUGUAUUUCUUUACAAAUACUUUGCUUUUAGGCCUCACUAGGUUUAAACUUUUCAGAAAAGCUAUAUCUAUUUAUGCUUCCCCUACAAUCAUUGGAAAUUUAUUCUACCAUGAAAUUAAACCCCUAGCACUCCAAAAUGGUUCUUGACAACAAGAAAUUUGGGCUCAUCUCUCACCAAGGCUUGACAAGGCACAAUAUGGCAAUCCAAUCCCAAAAAUUCCAACUUUCUCAAAAAAACUAAAUAAACAUCCACUGCUUGACCUAAUACUGGAUAUUGAAAGAUAACACUUCAACAAGAACAUCUACUGAAUAUCUGUUUACUUGGGAUUUCCAACAAGAAGCUGAAAACCCACGAUCAUAUAUUGCAUAAAAGCUAACAUCUUGUUGAAAUUCCUAACCACACCCAUCUUAGAAGCAACUAUACCAUAGCUGCAACUUUGCCCCCUGGUAGGCAUGAAUGCCAACCAUCAUUUGCUUUUCCUCUUUAAUUCUGAACCAUAUAAGUUCUAUAACUAGAUUCAAAACCAAUUUCUUCUGUGUUAAAACUGAAUGCCAACACCGCACUCUUUUAGUUCCCAAAUUAAAAUACCCAUUAACCAAUGCCUUUUACUGAUUAAUUCAAGCAUAAAUCUCCAUAAAAUCAUUCAUUUCUUGGAUCUCUUGCACAUUGUUUUAUACUAGCUUUUAACCCAGAAUUUCCUUCACACUUAAACCAUAUUUUCACAAUUUUCUGCCAAUAAAAUACAUGCAAAGAUAACAGAAAAUACAUUGACUGAGUGGGAUAUAUAUACAUAACCACGUUGUAUGAGUCCAUUGUGUACAGAACCGGCAAUUGAAUCAAAUCAUUAACAGAUCACAUAAAAAGGAUAAUGUACAUAAUCUCAUCAGCAAUCAAUUAAGACGAAAUUGAAACCACAAUAAAACAAAGGUAGAAAAUCAUAGACUAAAAUCCCUUAAAAAUUAAUGGAUUAAUUUCAUUAUUUUCAGUUUACCUCAGCCAUUUGACGAGACGGGAUCGAUCGAAAAUGAUGUGAAAAUGAGACAGAGCACUUUCUUCUGGUCGGCGGGAGAGAGUGUUGGAAACUAGAAUUGUUACGUUUUGUUUCAAUGAUUAGUAGCAGUAGAAUUAGCUCAGAUUAGUUUGCAACCCUUAAUAUUUUCUUAGUUUUUACUUUUCGCCCUUCACCUUUUAGUUUUUGACACAUAGCCCCCAACUGUCUUACAAAAGCUCUGGUAAAAAUAUUUUUUUUUCCCAAAAUAAGGUUACAUAUACCUUACAAUUGCAAGAUCAGUACAACAAAUUAGUUGUCAUUUAAUUUACAACUAAUACCCGCAAUUGAUUUAGAGAAAUGCCAAACUAGAAAUAGAGCAAUCUCAUAAUUAACUUGUAUACAACUUAUACACUUAAUUUAAUUUAAUGGAAAAGGCAUUCUUCAUGCGUUUGUUCAAGAAAAGUAAAUCAUGAGGGAAAAGAGCAAAAAGAAAAUGAGAAGGCAAAGGUGAUUUAUGCAUUAUUCCUUGGUUUGGCAGUUUUUUUUUUUUUUAAGUCACAAGUAUAUUAGUAGAAUUUUCAAAACUAUGACAAACGGGUCAUUUUGAAUCUCUUGCUCCCAAUUUAUGCAUAGGAAAAUAGUUCUUGAAAUACAUUUAGCUCCAAAUAUAGUGGUUAAGAAAAAUUAAGGGAAUAAGUGGAGCGCUGAUUUUAAAUAUAAGGGAAUAAGUGGUUAAGAAAAAUUAAGACUACGCGUGGGUAAAAAUUGAAGAUAUAUUAGAAGUAUCAACAAAACGUGUUUAUUUUGCAUGUUGGAGACACACAACUCUAGACUUUUUAGCCAAUUUCCUAAUGUGUGGAUUUUUUGGUAUGAAGUUAUAUAAGGAUGGGAAAAUUUGGAGAUUAGUUAUUGUUUUUGGCAAUUGAUGAACAACAAAGAGGUAAAAGAGUGAUAAACCACAUAAAUAUGAGGAAAUUAUAAUGGUAAACGCAAAAUUAGGAGGAAAACUUAUAAUUAAGCUUUCUCUAAUCAAUUAACUGUCUAUUUUAGGUAGCAUAUCUUUUAUUCUUGCUCCCACAAAAAAAAAUUUUUUUGUUGUAGAAUAGCUCUAAUUCUCAUUACUUAAAUCCAGCCAAAUCCCUAUAAUACAUAUAUUUAAAAUAUCAUAUCUCUAUAUUUUUUUCUCAUAAGUUGCAAUGAUAAACCUCUUCGAGUAUUCCUAUCUUCCACAUGUUUAGGUGAAAUUUCUCUGAUAGGCUCCGGCUUUUUCCGUUUAAUAGGUCUCCAUAUUUAAGAGGAAGUUUGGGUUUUAUAUUGUUAGAAUUUCAAUUUUUGCUAUCCAUUCUCUUAAAAGAAGUUAAAUCAUAUUAUUAACGAUAAUUUUUAAUGCUUUUAGUUUACAAGAAGAUGAUGGCUAACAAGUAGCAGCAUGUUCUUCAACUAAUGAUCAAAUUACGAGACAGUGAUACUUUAUUACAAGGUACCACUACAUCAGUAGAUGUGUUACUGCUGUUUCUAAAAAUUGAUAUGGAAUUCAGGUUAGUGAAACCCUAUAUGUCCACCGAUGCAAAAGUUCAAAGGUGUCUCUAAACCAAAGUUUUCUUUUGUACACUCUCUCUUUUUUCUGAUCAUUAAAAGCAUGAAAGUUUACGUGUAAAAAAAGUUUUUAUUACAUGUCAAAUAUCCUUAUGAUGAGUGAACCCUACAUGCUUAUUUACUCAUCCCCAAACCACCAAUCCUAAAAUGUCUCAACCCCCGAAAAAUUGCAGUUGAAUUCGCAUCACCUAAAAAAUAGUAGACGGCCUCUUUCAUACACGUUGACUGACUAAGUAAAAUGCUAAAAGAGAGAGAAAAGGAAGAAAUGUUCAACAGAGUCCAGUAAUAAUACUUCGUAAUUAAACCACCUUCAUUGAUUUGUAAACCAUCUUGGAAAGACCAUUGUUGUUCCAUACUGCAUAUUUGCUCAUGGCUGAGAAUUCUGCUCCCCCAGAAGAAGUUGUAGUGCCUGUUCCAGAAGAAAAAAAUGAAGCCAAAGAAAAAGAAGUCGUGGUGACUAUUCCUGAAGCAAAAAAUGAAGCCGAAGAAAAAGAAGUUGCAGUGCUUAUUUCUGAAGCAAAAAAUGAAGCCAAAGAAAAAGAAGCUAAAGAAAUCCCUGAUGAUACUACCACCACUGCUGCUGCUGCCACUACUAAUACUAGUGUGGCAGCUAAAACAGAUAAAAUGAAGAUUAUUGUGCUUUCAUUAACCGUACUUUCAUUUCUUCUUUCCUUUCCAAUCCUCUUUUCAAUCGCUUGGUUGCUGUACUUGAGACAAUAUGACUGUGAAAACCUUCUUGACUUGCCAAAGUUACAACUUGUGAUUGUCAUUGGUCUAGCAAUUGUCUUCUUUGUGAGCAACUUUGUAGUGAAAUUUGGAAGCCGGUUUCCUAUGCUUGGACUUCUCUUAGUUGUGGUGCCACUGAUUUUGAUGCUGAUUGUUGGUCUUGGACUUGAGGGUGCUUUUGACAUGGAAGCUCGUACCAUACCCGGUACUCCUAGAUGGCUUGAGUUCAGGGUGGAUAAUGACUACAAUUGGAAGGAUAUCAAAUCCUGCUUGUAUGCUACAACGACAUGUAGAGAGUUGGCGUUAAGGUCUUAUACCACCAAAUCCUUUGACUUCACAGCAAGCAAAUUAUCAUCGAUUGAGGUACUAAGCUAAUAUAAAUGUCACAUGAAAUAGUAUACGUGUGCUUGAGUAGACAUUACAGACAAAGAAUUGUUUGGCUGGUCGAAUAUAUAUAUAGGUAUAUGUAAAAUAUAAAUCACUAGUUUUGCAUAUGGCAUAUCCUAAAAACAUGUUGAAUGCUAUUGGCUUAGUUUUGCAUGAGAAAAUUAGUUUUGAAACUAAUUUCUACAUUAGCAGAAUACUUCUUUUUCAAUGGUUCAUACACAUGUUAUUAGGCAGUGUUUGAUACUUUAAUUCAACCAACAACUUAAAAAAAAAAAUUAUGAUCGAAUUUUUUUCAAUAAAUAGUGUGCUUAGUUUGAGUGAUUUGUGUUUUCUUUGGUCAUAUCACUUCUACAAUUGCACCUCUAUUUACAUUUUACAUUUACUCACUGGACUGUUUUUUACAUUGGCGCAAUUGUCUAGUCUGGUUGUUGUCUGCCGCCAACAAGCUGUGGAAUGGAGUACGUGAAUGCCACAUUCUGGAGGAAAGAAGAUUCAACACUGGAUGCGUCCAACCUAUUGGAGAGGGAUUGUGAUCUAUGGAAGAAUGAUGAAACCAUUCUGUGCUACAACUGCCAAGCCUGUAAAGAUGGAUUUCUCAAACCAUUACUUGGUAAAUGGCAGAACAUUGGGACCUUCCUCGUUGUCAUGGCUGCUCUGCUUUCAGUCUCGCAUCUGUUGCUUUUUAUUUCUACAAUGUGGGAGCAACUUCGAGGAUACCAUAAAAGCAAAUUAAUCGCACAUUCAUUUUAACUGACUAAGAGUUAUUAGAUGAGGUUUUGGAUUUGCAAGCUAUUUCAUCCUUUGUUCUUUACUUUGUUAUACAUCUUUUUCGUGUAUAAUCGGGGACAUCUUUGAUGCUAUGGUCAUCUUGGUUUUCGGUUUUUCACCAUCCCUUGACAGAAGCAGAAGCUACCAAUUUUUUCCAUGCUAUCAAGCUCUUCUUUGAUUGUCAUAUGGGCAAAAGUAUGUUUUGGAUUAUAUACCACGAAUUUUUAAGGAGUCGUAAGUUAUCAUUUCCUGAACUCCAAAAUCUUGGUUUCAUCAGGCAAAUCACACUGACUAAUUAGGAGUGGUCAGUUAUAAAACCUCCACCAUUAGGUGCCAAUACGACAAAUUUGUUUUAUCAUACACAAGCCAAUUAUCCUUAUUAAGCUUUACCAAAACCAAAACUCUCCUCCUCCCAUCCUGAAUUCAUGCACAGUGCAGACUAGGAUGAAACAAGAUGCAAGGAAAACCACAGGAUUGAAGAGACUGCAUCUCUUCUGAGUAUUCAAUGACAUGAAUAUCAGCAUCCAUGGGCGUCUCUUGAUUGAUAAGUACUUUCUUCAAGGUGAUUAAUAUAUUCCUUGCUAUUUUCCAAUCCCAAACCUUAUUAUGCCCCAACCUAACCCCAACAGAGGGAGACCAAGCGGGAGAAUAGAAGGGAGGAGACAUAAGUCAAAAUAAACUACACAAACAUAUCUGGACUGCAAAAGGACAAUAAAAGAGGAAAGCUAUAUUAUACAGAAGCUAACAACAUGCUACAAUUCUUGUAGUAAAAUUUGGCUAAAGCCAUGAAACAGGUUACGAUAACUUACAAGGAAUUCUCAGAGUUAACGAGUACAAGCCUACAAGCUAGUAUUUGGUAAAUCAUCAACACAAGAUUCUACUAAGUUGCAUACGAAGGGACACCAGGAUCCAGUUUUGGCUGAUACAUUCACCUCCGAGCAUGCGAGGCAUCAUAUGUUCCCGUCCAUGAAGGAUUCCCAGCAGCACCAGCAACAGCUCCUGCUACAGCUCCAACUCCAUCAGGAGCACCUGCAGUGACGGAACCACCAUACGGGAUCAUUCCCGGGGAUAUAGGCCCAGCACCCAUCGGAACAGCAGGUCUUCCAUAAUUAUCAACAUAUCCACCA
rnacentral:lncRNA from 1 species